AGGCUGCUCCGCGCCGCAGCCGGGGGGAGGUGGAGCCGCUUUAUCGAGAGACCAAGUGGAAAUUUCCCCCUCAGUUGCCGGCUCCGUCGCGGAGGAGACACCAGCGAGACCUGCUUGCCCUUGUUAGCCUGUGCCGUGUCCUGUUUGCCCGCCCGCCGCUAUGUCCAACUACAUCCACGUUCCGCCCGGCUCCCCGGAGGUGCCCAAGCUGGACAUCACUGUCAGCGAGCGGGAGGGGCCCGGCUACCGCCAGGGCGCUCUGCAGCUCCUGCGCCGCCUGCGGCCCCACUGGAGACCCGAGGAGGUGACACUGCAGCUGUUCACAGAUGGAAUCACCAAUAAACUAAUUGGCUGCUACGUGGGUGACAUAACAGACGAUGUCGUUCUAGUUAGGAUCUAUGGAAAUAAGACCGAGCUUUUAGUAGAUCGAGAUGAGGAAGUGAAGAGUUUCCGUGUGUUGCAGGCCCAUGGCUGUGCACCUCAACUAUACUGUACUUUCAAUAAUGGCUUGUGCUACGAGUUCAUGCAGGGUGAAGCACUGGAUCCAGAGCAUGUAUGCAAUCCAGAUAUUUUCAGACUCAUUGCCAGACAGCUUGCUAAAAUCCAUACUAUUCAUGCACACAAUGGAUGGAUCCCUAAAUCUAAUCUGUGGCUGAAGAUGGGGAAAUAUUUCUCUCUCAUACCCACAGAAUUUGCAGAUGAGGAAGUAAAUAAAAGGUUUUUAAGUGACAUUCCAAGUCCUCAAGUUCUUCAGGAGGAGAUGGCCUGGAUGAAGGAAAGACUGUCAAAUUUAGGAUCACCAGUGGUACUCUGUCACAAUGACCUGUUGUGUAAGAAUAUUAUUUACAACAAGAAACGAGGAGUCUGUGGGUGCUCAGUGCUUCUGAAGACUGAGGGCCCCAGUGGCUCACCUGAUGAACAGGAUGGGAGAGAACUCAGGAUACGUCGUUCUGCUGUGGUAACUACAGCUAGGACUUGCACGUUGAAGCUUCAAUGCUAUAUUACCCUGAGUGGAGCAUUUUCCCCAGCUUCACUGCAGGUAAAUGUAACUUGGAAACAUUUGGGGCUGUUUGCUGCUUUAACAGUCUAUAAGACUACAUAGUUUCAUAGUUUUGAGGGCUUGAGGAGCCUGAUGGUUUCUUCAGACUAGUUUAAGCCAGCUAAAAAAAGCUAUGAUUAAGAAUAGACUUGCUUUGUAAGUGUGGUUGGAGGAAGCAGGAAAUACCAACAUGUUAAAGGAAAUAUCAGCAUGUUGCAAUGUGUUAGUCCACUGUGGUUGCACACUUUUGUGAGAAUAAACAGGACUGUUCUUUUAAGUAAGGGAAAAAUUGAUCUGCUGUUUCUACAUAAAGUUUAAAUAGAGGAUCCUCUGCGGUAUUUCUUAUUUUGAAGGUAAGGGAUGCCCUCUUGUGGUAGAAGUUAAAAUUGAAAUUCUGCUAUUCAGAGUUUAAAACCAGAGCUAUAAGCUCGAAGUAAUUAUUUAAGAGCUUUCUUGAAUGAAUAUUCAUGGAAAUCGUGUUAUAUAAAAAUCACAACCUUACCCUGGGAUGUCUGAGCGCACACAACUGGGCACAAGUAUGGGUGUGUUUUGUUUUUUUCCCCAAAACUUCAAAGAACACCAAACGAUUAGGGCUCUGACUUCAUUUGACAUGGACUCUGAUGUUGCUGCUGUUGUGUCUCACAUAGGUGAUGUGCAGUUCAUAGAUUAUGAGUACUCUGGAUACAACUACCUGGCUUAUGACAUUGGAAAUCACUUCAAUGAAUUUGCAGGAGUAAACGAGGUAGACUACAGCCUUUAUCCUAACAGAAAAUUACAGGAACAAUGGCUCAGAUCUUACCUUGAGGCCUACAAAGAAUAUAAAGGAUUUGGCACAGAAGUCAGUGAAAAAGAAGUUGAAGUUCUAUAUGUCCAAGUCAAUCAGUUUGCACUGGCUUCCCACUUCUUUUGGGGACUGUGGGCUUUAAUUCAAGCCAAAUAUUCCACCAUUGACUUUGAUUUUCUAGGGUAUGCAAUUGUUCGCUUUAACCAGUAUUUCAAAAUGAAGCUGGAGGUCAUGACAUUAACUCUUCCUGAGUAAUGAAGAGGAAAAAACUUAACCAAGUGGAUAGAGAACCCCUGAAUCUUUUCUGAGAACAGAUACUGGAAAAAAGCUAAACAUUUGUUGAAGUUCUGUUAAUGCUCACUUGGUGGUUCUUGCUUUAUAAAUAAACUGCCUCUAAACAGUCCUUCAAUGUUAAAUUUAAUAUGAAAAGCAUAUGUACUGCUGUUGAUAUAAAACGGAUUAGAAACUUGCUAAAUCUAUAAAAAGUUGUAGAAAUGGCAAUUUAAUCCUUCUUUGUAAUUUAACAUGUUGUAUGUGAAUUAUUUAUUAUAAGUUUAACAUGAUUCCAUUGCUGCUUUCAUCAGUUUUUUUGUAAAAGUUGGGUGCAAACAGUGAAGUUGUUCCAAAGGAUUUGUUUAACAACUUAUUUUAUUGAAGUUGUGUUAACUUAUAUUAAAGAAAACAUCGUCAGAGAAUAUUAACCUUUUAGAUGUGUACAAGCAAAAUGAGUGAUGAUAGACUUGUGAGAUCACCCCUGUGGUGUAACUAGGGAAAAAGGUGAGAAUGAUUUUUUUUUUUUUUUUUUUUUUUUUUUGUGUGUGUCCCUUUUUUUCUUCCUUUUUUUUUUUUUUUGCCCCCCUCCCCCCCCCCCGAAAAAUGUAGCUUUCCAUAUGAUGGUACUUUUCUUUUGUCUCGAAUCGAGUUUGCUGAAAUGAUAAAUAACAUUUUGGGGGUUUUCCUUUCUUUUUCCUUCUAAGCUGUAGAAAUGUGGAAGUUCUGUGGCCAUAAGAUUCUGUUGAGGAUAUGUACCAUCAUAGUGUUAGGUGGGCAGUGUACUGUCUCUAACUUCUGUGGGAAAGCUGCUUGUUUAUUAAGUGUACUUUUAAAGCGAAAGACCACUAUCCCAAACCUAUCGCUUUUUGAAACUUGAUUCUAAAUUUGAACGCUAUUCUGGUGUCUAUAUUUGAUGUGCUUCAGCAGUAUCUAGCAGAAUGGACUAUUGAGCUGAAGACUAGUGAACAGAGAUCCUGUUGCACUGGGGAGCAAGACACUUAGGUUUACAGUUUUGUAUUGUUGACAUCUUUUUGCUUUGUCAGCUUCUAACCUUGGAUUCUAGUCUUAAAUACUUGGUCCUUAAAUACUUGCAGUUUCUGGAAUGUCUAGGGUUUCUUUUUCUUUUUUUUUUUUUUUUUUUUCCUGUGGCAGCAAAUUACUUUCAAAGUCUCCAGUUUGAAGGAUAAUCUGGAAUAGUCCAUGACUUGAACAAUGGGGCUUUGAUCAUCACAGAUUUUCUUAUUUCUUAAAGCUAUUAUACCAAGAAUGGUCUGGAUUGCAAAAUGUGAAUUAAAAAGAAAAUGUUUACUUAACAAAACAAUGUAUAAGUUUGCAUGGAAAAGAGGCUUUAAAUCUGGAAAGGGGGGUGGGUGGGCAGGGGAAGAAACCCACAACAGAAAAAUAGAACCUGACAAGGCAGUGUGGAGUCGGGCAAGCAUGUACUCAACUCUAAUUAUACUCUGAAAAACUUUGCACUUUGGUCACAUAAGUGCCCACAUGUACAAAGUCUGUGUGUGUGCAUAUACAGGUGCAAACACAAACUUACCCGAAUAGUAAAUAUUGUGGGGAGUCUGUUUUAUAGACCCCAGUGAAAAUAUUUAUUCCAAAUUGCUUUAUGGCACACUGCUCUGUGUGUAUGUGUGUAUAUGUGUAUACAUACAUAUGUACACAUAUAUACACAUAUGUGCUUUGCAACAGCUUGGAUUGAUUCAGGACAAAGAAAAUUGAUGUGAAUGAAAAAUUUUCACCUUUAAAGACCAUUUUGAAUGGCGUUCUGUUGUUUUACAAAAGCAAGGUUUGGAACUUUUUUAUUCCUCUUGUUUAUAUUCAUCUCUGAAUGCUUCCCUUUUUUAUUUCCUGCAGUCAGAACCUUAAAAAGCCUAAUACAAAUGGGAGAACUGGGAUUAUUUUUUUUUUUUUUUUUUUUUUUUUUUUUUGGUAACUUGAAAUUCUGUAACCAUUUUUGUUAGCAUUUAUUAGCUGAAGGCUACUAUGCUGGACAAAUUUUCUUGGUAGUUAAAUACAAACAAAUAGCUAAAAUAGGCACAGUUUUCUUUGUAGCAGUUUUCAAGGAUGUUGCUAGAGCUCAUGAAUGCACUGAAGACUUUAAUUUUCUGUACUUUCUCCCUGUUGAUAUUAUCGAUGUAUGUUGGGUAAUACCCUGCUGUCUUGGUAGUUCCUUUAAGUUCAGCAAGAUCUGCUCUGGAAGUAUGAUAAAGAUAUUUGAACUCUUAACUACUAUUUUCUUCAAGUGGUGGCUUUAUUUCUGGCAGUGUUGCUUUGUAUUUGUGAAAUAUUUGAAAAAGACUGUGAAGUUCACUUGGUCCUGGGAAAUCCAACACUUGACAGCUCCUAACUUUCCCAACAGUUGGCAAAACACAUUCCCUUUUUAGGUACCAGUACUAUUUAGGUUGGGAGUUAGUGUGAUUUUUUUUUUUCGGUAGUAUUUUUGUUUGUAUAGCUCAAGUAGCAAUAACUGUAGGAGUUGAAGCUUGCUUCUGCAGAACCAAAGCUCUUCAUGAGUGCAGCUCAAUCUCCUUGUGGAAUGAAUUUCCACUGAAUCUCUUAAAAGCACUUUGAAGCAGAUAGUAAAUACUGCAAGCUUUUCCUGAGCCACUUCGAAGAAGCACAAGGAUUAUCACAGGUUACAGUGGUUGACUUUGCAGUACUGGUAGAGGCUUUCAUUUUGCAUGUUGAAAUUCAUUUUACACACUGAAAUGCUGCUUUGCAUCAGCUUUCUUUCAAGACAAAUGCAGAUUAAAACAAUUCUUGUUAAGUUCUGAGGAAGUACUGUAACACAUUUUCCGAAAUGAAAUGCCGGUUACCUUGAGCCUUGUUCCACAUCAGUAUGAGCCGGUAGCACUCGGAUAUUGUUGCUUGUUAAGGGAUAUCUCCCAGAUGUGUUAAGUUUGAAGCAGUAGUUUGCAAUAGCGUUGCAGAUCGUAAGGUAGCUUGAAACUGUGAAUACAGGACAUUCUGAAUGUAAGUUAGGUACUAGAGCACCGAACUAGAGAACAUGUACUCGUUUCAAUUAAUUUAUCUCCGUCUCUUCAAUAGCAAUGUUAAGAUAUUUCAAAUGACUGAGCUCUAGAAACAUCCUGUAUUAGUUUUGACUGUGAUUUGCCAAGAAGAUACUCUGUUGCCUUUAUGUUAAGCUAAGGGCAUGAAUGCCGAAAUUAAUAAUCCUUACUGUAGUUAAACCUAUAUUGUAAAUAUGAAGAGGGUUAUUAGUAAGGGCAUUCUUGCAUAAAUAGCAUCAAGUCAAUAGACCAUAGUGGCCUGGUUGCUUUUGUAAAGCAGAAUAGUGUGAAUUUUUUUCUUCUCAUUUCUGCAGUCAGAUCUGGCUAUUCCAUGGCUGAUUCCUUAGGUCACCGAAGCAUUAAAGAUUUCUGAAUGGUAACUGGUCUUUUGUCACAUAACUUUGAAUUCCUUCAUUGACACUUUUUGAUUUGCAUUUUAAAAGGACUUAAAAAAAUUUGCAUUAACCAGGUCUGACUGUAUGUGUAUAUACAACAGUGUAAAUAACCAUUUGUAAAUUAGUGUGAAUUGUACUGUAUCUUGCAUUUAUGGACUUGUGUAUUGCAUUGUAUUCUCUCCUAUUUUGUAGAAAUUCUGAUGUAAAGAAGAAAUCUAACUCUGUGUGCGAACUUCUUUUGUUAAAUUGACCUGUAACAGAGCAUAAUAGCUUUAUGUUAAGGUAUCCAUUUAUAGCCUUGGGCAUCCAGUGUCUUUUCUCUUCCCUGUUAGCUUUUUUGUCAUCUUGCUCUUGGGAAUGAUUCUGGGAAUAAAGGAAUUGAUGCAGUACUAAGAUGAAGAGAAAGUCUGUUCUAAUAAUAGGGCAAACUAUGUGUCAGAGGUACGUGUAGUACCUGUGGUGUAGGGAAAGCUGUUAAAUUUGUUUACUUCCAAAAAUUUCCUAUACGUUCUUGAAUGCUGGUGACUUCUAAACGUGAGCAUGUUGAAUUGAGUGUGCUCCCAUGGUGACAGCAAUUGAGUUAGUUGUGAUAGAAGUCCCCCAACUUAAAAGGUUUUUGGUGGAUAUAGCCUUAUAAUAGGGUGAGUUGUUAACUUGUAAAUGCUUAUGAUAAAUGCCCAAAUCACUAAAAUAGUUCUGCCAUGUUUUCUUCCGCACUAGGCUUAUUGGUAGCCCCUUUAGACUACUUGAAACUUAACCUAGGUGUUUUCCUUGUGUGCCACUCCUUCGUCCUCCUCUCUGUGCCCACACCUUUCAUCGUUAGGGGACACAUGGAUAGAAAAGGUUCCUUUCUGUACGUAAUCGUCACUAUUUCCUUUUUGAAAACUCUUCUGUUUUGUCAGUAUGUGACUUCUCAUCAGAUUUUUUUUUUUUUUUUUUUUUUGUGUAGGAAGUCCCUUUCUGAAGAGGCCUUUAAUCUUGGAAGCAUAGACAUAAUGAAGCAUAGUUUUCCCCAAAUUCCUAACUAUAUUUAAUUACUGUUGCCUUUCACUGUCCAUUUUGAAGUCCAUAGGACCCUUAAAGCUCUUAGUUUAUUCUUGUCACUGCUGUGUUUAGUAACUGCUGAAAAAUACUGAUGUGAAAGUCUCAUUGUCUGACAGAUGGAUCUUGAUACAGUUCGAGCACCCUGUCAGCUUUACCUGCACCAGAUGACAGGUACACAUGCUUAUCAAUGUUGAUGUUUUAAGUUACUAGGGUCCUGGGAAGUGAGUUUAUUAAAGAUUAGUCAAGAGGAAGGAUGGGCCCAGUAAAUGUAAGUAAAAGGAAAUAAUUCACAAGGAAAUCCAAGCUUAAGUUUCUGAUGUAGCAAGGUAUUGGAUAUGCUUGUUUGCUUGCAUGUUUUAAGGAUUAGAGCGAAUUGCAAAGGGUAAUAUUUGUUUCAAAAUGAAGUUCAGACUUUUUUUUUUUUUUUUUUUUUUUAAAGCCUUUGGUAUCUAACAGAAGCUUACAGAAUAACCUUUUGUUACUCCUCCCAAAUAGAAGUCUUCAAACAAAUUUUGGUAACUCUGAUUAAAUAAGUUUGCUCCAUAGCCCAGUGGAAUGUAUCUCUUGCUUGAGAUAGUCCUUCCUGCAGUUUGCAGAGGAGGUUUGCCACAUCUCACCUGUCUGUGUUUGAGGUGGCUGUCUAGUCUUGAUUUGUCUCCAUGUUUUUGUAUUGUUUACUGUGUUCUUGGAUGCCUUCUAAGGUGUGCUAGAUUACUAAACCACUGGAAUUAGCUACUGUCUCCUAUCAUCUCUUCCACUCCAUGCAGGUUGCAACUGUAGUAGUAGAACAGAAGCAUUUGACCAAACCUUGAGGUAAUGCAAGGCCGAUGUUGAGCAGAAUUGCAGCUAAUACUUACACCUUCCCCCUGCCUCCCCCCAUUUUAUUUCUGUGGGCUGGAAGCUGAUUGUUUUCAUUAGUUGUAAAAGAUAUAAAAAGCCAAAAACAUUUGGUCUUGUACAAGGUAGGAUUUCCAUUAGCCAGCCACAAAACUUUUAAGAAGGAGGCUUGUGGCAGUGAGAAACCACACAAAUCCAGAUGGGACAUGUUGAAUGGAACCAAACUGUGGCUUACGGACCUCUGGUGUGGAAUGUUUGCACAUGCCAUUGCAUGGAGGUGCUCCAUCUAAGUGUUGGGAUGAGACACUGGAAAAAGCGUUGUUUGUUUAUUUUUAAGUGGCUAUUCCAAUUCGGUCUGACCUUUAGAGAUGGUAAGCUCUGUGAUUCGGAAACCAGUCAACCUGGGGGGAGAGAGAAGAAAUGUUCCAAAAGAUUAUUUAAAAAACGCAAACCCUUGUGUAGUUAAUUUGCAACCCUUAAGUGUGUGUUGGGCUUUUUUCUGUGUAUCGGUGGUAGUCUGCACCAUUCUUGCUGAUAAAGGGUUUUAUUAUUGUGUAAUGUCAGAAAACUAGUUGGAAUGGCCCUGAAGCCCAUUUAUGGCCUUAGAACAGGUGCCAGGCUUCACUAGAUGACCAAACUUCUGGUUUGAUGUUUUACAUCAGCUGUUUCUGUAGCUGCCUAAAAUUGUUGAGCUGCUGUCUUGGGUUCCCUGUGGUGAGGAACUUAAUUCAUGGCCUUCCCAAAUGAGUUUGAUGUGAUGUUUAUGGAGAUUAUGCAGAGAAAACUUGGUUGGAAAUAAGUCGAGUGAACAUUUAGAAAGCGAAUUUAAGUUACUUGAAAUCUGCCAAACUUUGAAAAUAAAUGCUGAAAUAACUUCAUAAAAUAAAUAACUUCAUAAAUGAGAAAUAACUUCAGGUACCGCACCAGCCUGGUUUUGUGGUAUUGCAGCUGCAUUUUUCCUAUGUUAAAUGUUUUUUUCCCCACAUAAAGAUCCGUGCAAAGCACAAGGUAAGAGAGACCAUGGAAGAGAAACAUGAAAAAUACUGUACAAAAUGCAGCGUGAACUGGAAAAAAGUCUAUGUUUCUAAGCUUUUGCUAAUAGUAAUUCUUGUUAUCAGAAAAUGGUAGGUGUCACAUCUUCAAUGUGUGAAAGAUUAUAAUUUUUUUGGUAGAAAUGUUCCUUUUAACAUUUUGUAUCUCAAAUGCAGUCUGUGGUAGUUAAUAAUGCUGCUUUGUACACAAGUGCUUUGAAUAGUCUCAGCACCAAGAAUGUAUCCAAUCUUUUUAAAAUAUGAUUUAAAAGUUAGAUUGAUUGGUUCUGUCUCAAGCCUCUUGAUCCAACUAUCUAAAACCCUUUACUUGCAGAAACUGGGCCAUAGCAUAUUAGGGAUAUAUUCUCUUUUGUGUCUUUUUUUUUUUUUUUUGUUACUGCAUAUUUUUCAGUGUUCUUCUAAACAUGAGUCCAUUCAUGUCCUGUGAAUAAAAUAAGCUCAAUUUACAAGUAAGUGUUUGUCAUCUUCCAGCACUGUCAUCCCUUCAAAAGUCCCCAUGACCCUUCUUGUAUGUUGUGAAGUUUAGAUGAAUCAUUUAUCCAUUGGAGUGAAAUUGUAUUUCUUUUGAACUAAAUGUUAUUGAAGCUAUUAUAAGGCCUUCUACCACUGAUUAAAUGAAGUAAUGUACCUUUCAAAGAGAUUUAUAUUGUGUAAAUAAUUUCAAACUGCAACAAUAAAGUUUGUUUCUAACUGCA